rnacentral:rRNA from 1 species
UACGAACUGUGCGAACGUUAUUCGGAAUCACUGGGCUUACAGGGUGCGUAGGCGGUUCUAUAAGACAGAUGUGAAAUCCCCAGGCUCAACCUGGGAACUGCAUUUGUGACUGUAGAGCUGGAAUACGGUAGAGAAAAAUAGAAUUCCGCGUGUAGCAGUGAAAUGCGUAGAUAUGCGGAGGAACACCGAUGGCGAAGGCAAUCCCCUGGACCUGUACUGACGCUCAUGCACGAAAGCGUGGGGAGCAAACAGG